AGUGAACGCUGGCGGUAGGCCUAACACAUGCAAGUCGAACGGCAGCACAGGAGAGCUUGCUCUCUGGGUGGCGAGUGGCGGACGGGUGAGGAAUACAUCGGAAUCUACUCUGUCGUGGGGGAUAACGUAGGGAAACUUACGCUAAUACCGCAUACGACCUACGGGUGAAAGCAGGGGACCUUCGGGCCUUGCGCGAUUGAAUGAGCCGAUGUCGGAUUAGCUAGUUGGCGGGGUAAAGGCCCACCAAGGCGACGAUGCGUAGCUGGUCUGGGGUGAUGAUCAGCCGCACCGGAACUGAGGCACGGUCCAGACUCCUACGGGAGGCAGCAGUGGGGAAUAUGUGACAAUGGGCGCGAGCCUGAUCCAGCCAUACCGCGUGGGUGAAGAAGGCCUUCGGGUUGUAAAGCCCUUUUGUUGGGAAAGAAAUCCAGCUGGCUAAUACCCGGUUGGGAUGACGGUACCCAAAGAAUAAGCACCGGCUAACUUCGUGCCAGCCGCCGCCGUAA
rnacentral:rRNA from 1 species